rnacentral:rRNA from 1 species
AGCUCCAAUAGCGUAUAUUUAAGUUGCUGCAGUUAAAAAGCUCGUAGUUGGAUUUCGGGUGGGAAUGGCCGGUCCGCCGUUUCGGUGUGCACUUGCUACGCCCACCUUGCUGCCGGGGACGUGCUCUUGAGUUUGCGCUCGGGACACGGAGUCGGCGAGGUUACUUUGAGUAAAUUAGAGUGUUCAAAGCAGGCCUACGCUCUGAAUACAUUAGCAUGGAAUAACACGAUAGGACUCUGGCCUAUCUUGUUGGUCUGUAGGACCGGAGUAAUGAUUAAGAGGGACAGUCGGGGGCAUUCGUAUUUCAUUGUCAGAGGUGAAAUUCUUGGAUUUAUGAAAGACGAACUACUGCGAAAGCAUUUGCCAAGGAUGUUUUCAUUAAUCAAGAACGAAAGUAGAUCGGAAGAG